GUCAAAUCAUCAUGCCCCUUAUGACCUGGGCUACACACGUGCUACAAUGGAUGGUACAAAGGGCAGCAAAACCGCGAGGUCGAGCAAAUCCCAUAAAACCGUUCUCAGUUCGGAUUGUAGGCUGCAACUCGACUGCGUGAAGUCGGAAUCGCUAGUAAUCGCAGAUCAGCAUUGCUGCGGUGAAUACGUUCCCGGGUCUU
rnacentral:rRNA from 1 species